UACGUAGGUGACAAGCGUUGUCCGGAUUUACUGGGCGUAAAGAGCGCGCAGGCGGUCGAUCAAGUCGAGUGUGAAAGCCCCCGGCUCAACUGGGGAGGGUCAUUCGAUACUGAUCGACUCGAAGGCAGGAGAGGGUAGUGGAAUUCCCGGUGUAGUGGUGAAAUGCGUAGAUAUCGGGAGGAACACCAGUGGCGAAGGCGGCUAUCUGGACCGACAUUGACGCUGAGGCGCGAAAGCGUGGGGAGCAAACAGG
rnacentral:rRNA from 1 species